rnacentral:snRNA from 25 species
AUCUCUUUGCCAUUUGGCUUAGAUCCAGUGUAGUAUCUGUUCUUUUCAGUGUAAUAGCUGAAAUGUCAUCAUUGAUGGCAAAUACAAAUAUAAUUUUUUACAUUUAUUUUUGGAACAAAUGGUGGGAUUGGUUUCAAAUGGGCUUGCUCAUAAUCAUUCCCACACAGUGUCGUUGCCAUUACACGUUCAUCGAGGCUCCU